UCAUUGUAAAAGCGCAUGAGUAUUGUAAAACAUAGACUACAAAGUGUAAACAAAAUUGAUAUGAGCAAAAAAAAAACAAGAAUUCGUCAUCUAAGGAGUGUGCGCUGUAGGUUCAUUCGUUCGGCGACAAUGGCGGCAGACCUUGAGCAGUUUCAACAACUUUUACACACUCUUAUUAGUACGGAUAAUGAUGCCAGAACACAAGCAGAGGAGGCAUACAACAAUCUUCCAGUGGAUAGCAAGGUGACGUUUCUGUUGGCCUUAUUAUGCAAUGCCACCCUUUCAGAAGAGAUGCGUGCUAUGGCUGCUGUCCUAUUGCGUCGACUCUUUUCCUCAGAGUUCAUGGACUUUUACCCUAAAAUUCCACCGGAAGCACAAGCACAGUUAAAAGAACAAAUUUUAUUAUCUGUUCAAAAUGAACAAACUAAAACUAUUCGACGUAAAGUAUGUGAGGUUGCAGCCGAAGUCGCACGAAAUUUAAUUGAUGAAGAUGGUAAUAAUCAGUGGCCAGAAUUUUUGCAGUUCCUAUUUCAAUGUGCAAAUAGUCCCUUACCAGCACUAAAAGAAAGUGCACUUCGAAUGUUUACAUCCGUCCCUGGUGUAUUUGGAAAUCAACAGGCUAAUUAUCUGGAUCUUAUCAAGCAAAUGCUACAACAAUCGGUUAUGGAUUCUUCAAAUUAUGAGGUCAGAUUUCAAGCAGUAAGAGCAAUUGGUGCUUUUAUUAUUUUACAUGAUAAAGAAGAAAAUAUACAAAAACAUUUCUCAGAAUUAUUGCCAGCUAUUGUACAAGUAAUUGCUCAAUCAGUAGAAAAACAGGAAGAUGAUGCUCUAUUAAAAGUUUUAAUCGAUUUGGCAGAAUCAACACCUAAGUUCUUAAGAUUACAAUUAGAAACUAUAAUGGAAAUGUGUAUGAAAAUAUUUUCUAAUGAAGAAGUGACUGAUCCAUGGAGACAAUUAGCAUUGGAAGUAUUAGUAACUUUAGCAGAAACUGCUCCCGCGAUGGUACGUAAAGUUGGCGGAAAAUAUAUCGCAUCUCUUGUACCAUUGGUAUUAAAAAUGAUGACAGACAUAGAAGAAGACGAGAAGUGGAGUUUUUCUGACGAAAUUGUUGAUGAUGAUAAUGAUAGUAACAAUGUUGUUGCCGAAAGUGCUUUAGACAGAUUAGCGUGUGGUUUAGGUGGUAAAACAAUGUUACCGCAGAUUGUACAGAAUAUUCCUUCAAUGCUAAAUAACAGCGAUUGGAAAUAUAGGCAUGCUGCUCUUAUGGCAAUAUCAGCUGUUGGUGAAGGUUGUCAUAAACAGAUGGAAACAAUGUUACCUCAAAUUAUGGAAGGAGUCAUACAGUAUUUGCAGGAUCCUCAUCCUCGUGUAAGAUAUGCGGCUUGUAAUGCAAUAGGACAAAUGUCGUCCGAUUUUGCACCUAUAUUUGAAAAAAAAUUUCAUGACAAAGUUAUUCCUGGUUUACUGAUGGUCUUGGAUGAUAAUGCAAAUCCAAGAGUUCAAGCUCAUGCGGGUGCAGCACUUGUAAAUUUCAGUGAAGAUUGUCCAAAAAAUAUCCUAACACCGUAUUUAGAUGCGAUUAUGGCUAAAUUGGAAUCAAUACUUACGGCUAAAUUUCAAGAGUUAGUUGAAAAAGGCACUAAACUUGUGUUGGAACAAGUAGUUACAACUAUUGCCUCAGUAGCCGAUACAUGCGAAGAACAGUUUGUAACAUAUUAUGAUAGACUUAUGCCAUGUCUAAAAUAUAUUAUACAGAAUGCGAAUCAGCAAGAACACAAAAUAUUGCGUGGUAAAACAAUUGAAUGUGUGAGUCUUAUAGGACUUGCAGUUGGACCUGAAAAGUUUAUUGCAGACGCCAGUGAAGUUAUGGAUAUGUUGUUAAAAACUCAUUCAGAAGGAAAUCUUCCAGAUGAUGAUCCACAAACAAGUUAUCUCAUAUCUGCUUGGGCUCGAAUUUGUAAAAUUCUUGGAAAACAAUUUGAACAAUAUUUACCGUUGGUAAUGGGUCCAGUUUUGCGUACAGCAGCUAUGAAACCAGAAGUUGCUUUAUUAGAUAAUGAAGAUAUGGAAGGUAUAGAUGAUUUUGAUUGGGAAUUUAUUUCUCUUGGAGAACAACAAAACUUUGGCAUCAAAACAGCUGGUUUAGAAGAUAAGGCUUCUGCCUGUGAAAUGUUAGUUUGCUAUGCACGAGAAUUAAAAGAAGGUUUUGCAGACUAUGCCGAAGAAGUAGUGCAGCUAAUGGUUCCUAUGUUAAAAUUUUAUUUUCAUGAUGGUGUUAGAACAGCGGCUGCUGCAAGUUUACCGUAUCUUCUUGACUGUGCAAAAAUUAAAGGUCCGCAAUACCUUGAAGGUAUGUGGGCGUAUAUCUGCCCCGAUCUGUUGAAAGCAAUUGAUACUGAACCCGAAUCUGAAGUUUUGCUAGAAUUAUUAUAUUCAUUGGCUAAGUGUAUUGAAACACUUGGUGCAGGUUGUUUAGGAUCACAACCUAUGGCAGAACUGUUACGUAUAUUAGAUAAGUUACUUAAUAAACAUUUCGAAAGAGCAGUAGCUAGGUUGGAAAAGCGUAAAGAUGAAGAUUACGAUGAAGUUGUUGAAGAACAACUUGCUGAUGAAGAUAACGAAGAUGUAUAUACAUUAAGUAAAAUAGGAGAUAUUUUACAUGCUUUGUUUAUUACUCACAAAUCUUCAUUUUUCCCUUACUUCGAUCAAAUUUGUGGACAUUUUGUUAAACUAUUAAGUCCUGAAAGGUCCUGGUCAGAUCACCAGUGGGCUUUAUGCGUUUUCGAUGAUGUAAUAGAGUUUGGCGGACCUGAAUGUGCAAAAUAUCAAGAAUAUUUUUUGCGACCAAUGAUACAAUAUGUAUCAGACAAGUCGGCUGAAGUAAGGCAGGCUGCAGCUUAUGGUUGCGGCGUUUUGGGGCAAUAUGGAGGAGAAGCAUUUGCUCAGGCAUGUGCCGAAGCGUUACCUAGGUUAAUGGAAGUUAUAAACGAUCCAGAAUCUAGAUCACCAGAAAAUGUUAAUCCCACUGAAAACGCUAUUUCUGCAGUAACAAAAAUUCUUAAAUAUAAUAAUAAGGCAAUCAACGUGGAUGAAAUACUUCCUCAUUGGCUUUCUUGGCUACCAGUGGUAGAAGAUGAAGAUGAAGCACCUCACGUUUAUGGAUAUCUGUGUGAUUUGAUCGAAGCAAAUCAUGUAACAGUUUUAGGACCAAAUAAUGCUAAUCUACCUCGAUUAAUAAGUUACUUUGCAGAAGCGCUUUUUAAAGAUGCAGUACCUAUAGAUAAUCCUGUCAUGGGUAGAAUUCUUAGUAUUGUUAGACAAAUACAGAACAACGAGUCUAUGUUCCAAGCAUGUAUAAAUGCAUUGACAGCAGAUCAACAGCAAGCGUUGCAUGAGGCACUUAGUGCAUAGCCUACUAAUUAGCCAUUUGCUUUUACCCCAGAACUUUAACACCUUAAUAUAAAACGAUAAAAAAACAUUUGCUUUAAUAAAAUUUAUGGAGAAAUCACAAAUUUUAGGUAGCUACAUUAUACCUAUGGAACAUACGCCAGCCUAAGUAUGAACAGACACACCUCGUUGCUCCGAGGACGUUGAAGAAGUUUUUGUCACUGCGAUCUCUUCGUCCCAAUUAUCUAUAUUUUGAAUCUACUUCUUUGGCAGAAUGAUAAAACUGCGAAAAAUAGACUGGAAAGACACCAACUCGUUGCUAUCACGUGAUAGCAAAACAUAUUGUGAUUUAGGUAUUUUUAUUAUUAAAUUUAGGUGCAGUAAAUGUUAUUUAAUAAUAAUGUCAAUAAUAUUACCGCGUUGAAGUUAGAACUGUAUACGAAUGCCUUUUACAUGAAACGUAAUGAACUGCUCUAUAAAAUUUUCAGAUUUGGAUAAAUUACAAUGUAUAGUAUAUUACAUUUUCUGCUAACUUUAAUUUAUCGAGAUGCGUUUUAUAAAACAAAAACGAAAAAAAUAUGUAUUUUCAGUUUUAUAUAAAUUGUAUUUAACCUUAUGAUUUUACAGCUAAUUUAUAUCAACUUAUUACGCUUAUUUAGCUGUAACUUUACACUUAUUUUGUUAUUAUGUCAUCUACAAAUAAAAAUAACAGUAAAAUUAAGGGAUAUGACUGAAAUGAUCGAAAACGGUGACAAUGCUGGGCAUUACGUUUCUUCCGAUUAUUGUGUAAUGACAACGUGAAUUAAGAACAAUGAUGUUAAAAAAUAAUGACUGAGUGGAGUAGUGUUACAACUUCCUGAUCUUGUUGCUAUUUAUUUGUAAUCAAUAAUUGCUGAUAUUUACUAAUGCAUGCAAAUUUGCAAUGCAAAAUAUAUCCCCUUAUAAAAAUUACGACUAUUUGCAACAGAAUCCUUAAAAAAAAUUUUUAUUACCAUAUAAAUAAAUAAAUAAAUAUAUAUAUAUAUAUAGAAAUGUGAUGAAAAUAAUAAUUGAAUAUUCAUUUGUAUAUGUAUAUAUAUAUCAAAGUAUAUAGAUAUUAAAAAUAAAUACAUUAAUGUAAUUAUCAUUGAUCUUUGGUAGGCACUGCCUCAUUAAUUAUUUCAUGAAGACCAACAUAAAAAGUACAUUCAGGUACUUACGAAAUGAAUACAAGUAAUGUGCGGCUGUAAACAUUUCAUUAGAAGCUACUGAAGGACUGUUUGUGCGAUAUAUUGUGACGAAAAAUGUUGAAACAAAAUCAGUGCGAAAAAGUAAAGUUAUAAUUCGUAUAAUUAUAUAGAGAUUAUUUUAAAGUAAUUAUUAUUUAAAAUAAAUCUCAGCUUUUUAA
rnacentral:misc_RNA from 1 species